rnacentral:rRNA from 1 species
AACGAACGCUGGCGGCAGGCUUAACACAUGCAAGUCGAGCGCCCCGCAAGGGGAGCGGCAGACGGGUGAGUAACACGUGGGAAUCUACCCAUCCCUACGGAACAACUCCGGGAAACUGGAGCUAAUACCGUAUACGCCCUUAGGGUGAAAGAUUUAUCGGGGAUGGAUGAGCCCGCGUUGGAUUAGCUAGUUGGUGGGGUAAAGGCCUACCAAGGCGACGAUCCAUAGCUGGUCUGAGAGGAUGAUCAGCCACAUUGGGACUGAGACACGGCCCAAACUCCUACGGGAGGCAGCAGUGGGGAAUAUUGGACAAUGGGCGCAAGCCUGAUCCAGCCAUGCCGCGUGAGUGAUGAAGGCCUUAGGGUUGUAAAGCUCUUUCACCGAUGAAGAUAAUGACGGUAGCCGGAGAAGAAGCCCCGGCUAACUUCGUGCCAGCCGCCGCGGUAACAC